rnacentral:rRNA from 1 species
UACAGAGGUCUCAAGCGUUGUUCGGAUUCAUUAGGCGUAAAGGGUGCGUAGGUGGCGCCGUAAGUCGGGUGUGAAAUUUCGGAGCUUAACUCCGAAACUGCAUUCGAUACUGCGGUGCUUGAGGACUGGAGAGGAGACUGGAAUUCAUGGUGUAGCAGUGAAAUGCGUAGAGAUCAUGAGGAAGACCAGUGGCGAAGGCGGGUCUCUGGACAGUUCCUGACACUGAGACACGAAGGCCAGGGGAGCAAACGGG